CUGAGCUACAUCCCCAGAUCUGCCUUUAAAAAGUUACUUCUGCCUGGAGUUUGGAGUUUGGAGCGACAAGAGGCCAAAUGGGCAGCACAGUAGAGACCACUUCAAUGAUCCCAUGUGAGAUUAGGUGUUAAGGCAGGAGAUGCAGUGGGAGAAACUGAGUAGUAGAUGUUCUAGAUAUACCUGGAAGGUAGAGCCAACUGGAUUUACUGACAAACUGGAUGUAUGGUACCAGAAGAAGAGUCAAGAAUGAGUUUGGUGGGGUGUGAGUGUGGAAGCUCUCAAGUUCAAGGCUAGCCAGGGAUCUAUGGCAAGGUUUUAUUUCAAAGAAACCAAACAAUGACAACAACAAACCAAGAAUGAGUCUGGCUGUGGUUGGCCUGAGCAACUGUGAGAAGGGAGACCCCACUUCUUGAAAUGGAGAAGAAUAUGGGAGGAACAUGUUGGGUGGUGCAGGCGACUAGCAGAACUUGGUUUGAGUCAUGCUCCUUGGGAGGUACCUGCUGAACAACCACAUAGAGCUGUUAAGGAAGCCACUGGAUACCCACUUGUCUGAUAUCCAGGAUGGACACCCGGUAUGGAGAUGCCACUGGAACUUACUUCACUUUGAAGAUGAGUGAGUUCAAAGGAGAGAAGAGGUUUGAGGCGGCUGCCUAGGAGCACUCACUAAUGAGAGGUCACAGACAGAAGAAAAGCUACUAGGAGGAUCUUCCAACUCAGACAAAGGCCAUCAAUAAGAGAAGCCAGACCCGGUGUGUGUGAAACCCAGGAGAAGGAAGCAAAUGCAAGGUAUUUACCUCUUUUCCAUGAGGCCAAUGCAGAAUAGGUCUUCUUGGAAAGGGAAAGUCAGAAUUGUUGGAUCUCUUUAGAUGGGCACCCAGUCUUGGGCUUUGGCUUGAGGUAGGGCUUAAGUCCCAAUUUGUGGAAUGUCUCUGAACUCCACAAGAAAAAGCUGGAGCUCGGAAGCAGGUAAUUUCAGUCAAGUACACUAUGUUUACUUAGAGUUUGGGUGCAGCAACCAGUUAAUUACUCAAGUAAAUCAUGUCACCAUCCCCUGCAGCCCCAGUGUAAUAACACCGUGCUGACCACACUUUUAAGAGUGAUAUAAGCCUCGAAGUGCGAGCUAAGAGGUUUUAUAGGCCACUCCUUGAAUGGGCCUCUUUCUCCAGGAGCUCACAAAAGUCAUGUGUGUCAAUGCCUGCUUAGCUGUGGGGAAGGAGGGUGGCUCUUGGGGGCCCCCUUCUAGAUGAGGCCCAUAUGACUUGGGAUUGGUCCAAAGGCUGACUUGUAGCUCAGCUGGGAGAAGUCGGCCUUUUCUGUGGGUUUUUUUUCCCCUCAUAUCAUUGGGACAUGUUGGACUCACCAUCCCUAUGACACUCAGCUUCCCAAUUCAAAUCUAUCAGUUCAACAAACAUCUCUUGGACCUGGUUCUGAGCUGAGUGCUUAGAACUUAGGUGUGCCCAGGAAUAGUAUUCAUGUUCCAGGCAAAUGCAAGAGAUGGGCGCAAUGAACUAACCUUAUGGUUUUACUAAAACAUAAGGUGGUACAAACACUGAGGGAGAGAAAAUGAAUUCAGAAACUUGCAUUGGAUCGACAAGAAUGAGACUACUGCAGCUAACAAGACUUGAGAGGGGAGAGGGAGUUGCAGGCUGUGGAGGCCGCUUGAACGAAGGCCUAGGGACUGGGUGUUUUCUUAGAUAUUCACAGAAGCCCAGCUCCCUUGACUUAGACAACCAGAAUCUAGGGCUCCCAGAUUGCUUCAGUAGCAAAUUAAUGAAAUCCUGGAAUGUAAGGCACUUUUUGUGCCUGGGCAGAUUUUUCCUAAGGCAGGAGAUUGCUCUACCCACAAACAAGUCAUACCUCCCAAGAUGAGUGGACAUUUGGGCUAGGAUUCCAGUCGGUAUAGGCAUGUGCUCAGCAUCUUCGUCCCCACCUAUCGAUCUCCAGAUACCGGCCAGAAGUGUGCUGUGAUCAGCGAUAUCCCACUAUGUUCCAAGGACUCUUCCAGCCACAAAGAAAGCUCACUUCCCCACCUGGCCUGGCAGAAAAAGUUCCAGGUUUGUUAGUGUGGUUGUGAUUGAUAAUCAGUUCAGGUCACAGGUCUAACCCUACCUGUCACUUUUUGUGGUUAAGUUUCUUAUAAAGUGUCUGGCAUUGGGUUAAGAACUUUACAAGCAUGAUGGCUGCUAAAUGUCAAAACAAUCAUGAUAUGGGCUGUUAUUCUCAUCUGAGGAUAUUGUUCUAUAGAGAGAUGAGGUCUUUGUCCACAAUCACCCAGCUUAUAAAUAGCAGUGCUAGGCUAUGUACAAGAAAGUCUGGUUCCCGAACAUGCAAUUAGUCAAGAUGAGGAUAAAAAAUAUACUAUUAUUUCCCAAGAAGAUGUGCAACAAACUCAAUA